AGUGAACGCUGGCGGCGUGCCUAACACAUGCAAGUCGAACGAUGAUGGAGAGAUUGCUCUCCUGAUUAGUGGCGCACGGGUGAGUAAUUCAUAGAUAAUGUGCCCCUUAGUUCGGGAUAGCCACUGGAAACGGUGAUUAAUACCGGAUACUCCUUCUUGUCUCAAGGCAAGUCGGGAAAGUUUUUUCGCUAAGGGAUCAGUCUAUGUUCCAUCAGGUAGUUGGUGAGGUAAUGGCUCACCAAGCCUAUGACGGAUAUCUAGUUUGAGCGGAUGAUCAGACACACUGGAACUGAGACACGGUCCAGACUCCUACGGGAGGCAGCAGUGAGGAAUAUUGCACAAUGGAGGAAACUCUGAUGCAGCAACGCCGCGUGGAGGAUGACGCAUUUCGGUGUGUAAACUCCUUUUAUUAGGGAAGAUAAUGACGGUACCUAAUGAAUAAGCACCGGCUAGCUCCGUGCCAGCCGCCGCGGUAAUAC
rnacentral:rRNA from 1 species